rnacentral:rRNA from 1 species
GACGAACGCUGGCGGCGUGCCUAACACAUGCAAGUCGAGCGAUGAAGUUCUUCGGAACGGAUUAGCGGCGGACGGGUGAGUAACGCGUGAGCAAUCUGCCUUACACAAAGGGAUAGCCUCGGGAAACUGGGAUUAAUACCAUAUGACACUUGGUAAUCGCAUGAGGACCAAGUCAAAGAUUUUAUCGGUGUAAGAUGAGCUCGCGUCUGAUUAGCUAGUUGGUGGGGUAAAGGCCUACCAAGGCGACGAUCAGUAGCCGGCCUGAGAGGGUGAACGGCCACACUGGGACUGAGACACGGCCCAGACUCCUACGGGAGGCAGCAGUGAGGAAUUUUGCGCAAUGGGGGAAACCCUGACGCAGCGACGCCGCGUGGAGGAUGAAGGCCUUCGGGUCGUAAACUCCUGUCAGAGGUGAAGAAUACCCGCAAGGGUUGACGGUAACCUCAGAGGAAGCCCCGGCUAACUACGUGC